UACUCAGGCUGAUGCCAGUCUGGUCGAGCAACUGCCAACAAAUAAGUCUUGAAAGAGAUGAUUUAUUGCAUCAAUGCUUCUUCUAUUCACCACGCAUGUAAGAUUGCUAAUGUCAAGAGUAAUUUAUUCCUGUGCCCCUCCUGUUCUAGAAGCUGUCAAUGAAGAUGAUGUUCCUCAUCUUACCCCUAAUUUAAUCACGUGGAUUAAUCAUGUGUAGUCGUAAGGCCGCAUGUUUACAGCACACUUG
rnacentral:lncRNA from 1 species